UAGGGAAUCUUCGGCAAUGGACGAAAGUCUGACCGAGCAACGCCGCGUGAGUGAAGAAGGUUUUCGGAUCGUAAAACUCUGUUGUUAGAGAAGAACAAGGACGUUAGUAACUGAACGUCCCCUGACGGUAUCUAACCAGAAAGCCACGGCUAACUACGUGCCAGCAGCCGCGGUAAUACGUAGGUGGCAAGCGUUGUCCGGAUUUAUUGGGCGUAAAGCGAGCGCAGGCGGUUUCUUAAGUAUGAUGUGAAAGCCCCCGGCUCAACCGGGAAGGGUCAUUGGAGACUGGGAGACUUGAGUGCAGAAGAGGAGAGUGGAAUUCCAUGUGUAGCGGUGAAAUGCGUAGAUAUAUGGAGGAACACCAGUGGCGAAGGCGGCUCUCUGGUCUGUAACUGACGCUGAGGCUCGAAAGCGUGGGGAGCAAACAGG
rnacentral:rRNA from 1 species